CCUACGGGACGCAGCAGUGGGGAAUAUUGCACAAUGGGCGCAAGCCUGAUGCUGCCAUGCCGCGUGUGUGAAGAAGGCCUUCGGGUUGUAAAGCACUUUCAGCGAGGAGGAAGGUGGUGAGCUUAAUACGCUCAUCAAUUGACGUUACUCGCAGAAGAAGCACCGGCUAACUCCGUGCCAGCAGCCGCGGUAAUACGGAGGGUGCAAGCGUUAAUCGGAAUUACUGGGCGUAAAGCGCACGCAGGCGGUUUGUUAAGUCAGAUGUGAAAUCCCCGGGCUCAAUCUGGGAACUGCAUUUGAAACUGGCAAGCUGGAGUCUCGUAGAGGGGGGUAGAAUUCCAGGUGUAGCGGUGAAAUGCGUAGAGAUCUGGAGGAAUACCGAUGGCGAAGGCGGCCCCCUGGACGAAGACUGACGCUCAGGUGCGAAAGCGUGGUGAGCAAACAGGAUUAGAUACCCGUGUAGUC
rnacentral:rRNA from 1 species